AUUUUUCAACAUUAAGAAGAUAAAGAAAAGGAGUGAUGAGAAUCCAACUGCAUUAAACCUUAAGACUCUUAAGAUUCCCUUAUUUUUCACUUUCAGUCCAAGAAGGAACCCACAGUAUAUGCUUAUGAUCAGUUGUUUCUAUUUCCAAAUUGCAAUAGCCGAAAUUUCAUUGUUUUGACAAUUUAAGUACCACAAACAGUUAUUUGCAUUAAAUUAUGGCACUAAAUUUCAGAAGAUGUUUCGUACAAUCACACAACACAAGAACAACAACAACUCAGCCAUAAUCUCAAACUAGUUGAGGUUGGCUAUA
rnacentral:misc_RNA from 1 species